AGGGGUGGGUAGGUGACACCCUGGCUGUGCAGGACCUGGGCAAGUGCAGGGGUCAUCCUUCCUGGGGAUGUGGGGGCAGCAAGUGGGCAGAACUGGAGCCCUGAAACCUUGACCCAGGGGCCGCUGAAAUCCCCAAGGGGCUGCCUCUGCCCCACUUGCCCCACCCCCCACAGGGAGACAGCGGCCCACGGGGCAGGGAUUGCUCAGGGCCCGUGGUGAGGCAGGGGUGGCGGGGGCACCGAGGGCAUCGUCCCCAGAGAGGGUCUAAGCCGGCCAGAGUCAGUUAGAAGACGCAGCCCCUGACCCCUGCAGCCAAAAUUCCAUGUUCUUUUCAUCUCCGUGCUUACCGGGGCCUCCCCGGCCAGCCCUCGUGGGAAUAUUGGAACAGACCAGUUGGGGAGGCGGAUGUCAGCACAAGCAGGACCACACAGGUGAAGAGCACGCGCUCUGUCGCAGCACUGUUGCAGGGCCCAGCAGGAGGCCGGCCUCGGUUCCCCCGGAGUGGGGAGCCGUGGACACGGCUAAGGGGAUCAGCUUUGAGCUGGGGGUGAGUCUGAAGAGCCCGGUGAAGUCCCCACAGCCUGAUCUUCACGGCGAAUAUCUACAAGGCCUCCACUCGGCCCCCCACUGUCCCUGGCCCUUGACCUCACCCACCUUCUCUCAACAUCCCCCAGAGAGGGGCUUUUUCUUAAACCACAAGGACCCUGAGAGCAUGACUCCCUAAGGAAGAGACCCUGCCCCUGCCGUCUCGGUGCCAUGUUGUCCGCUCUGCCUGGGCGUCCUCCAGUCCACUGGGCGUUGCUCCUCAUUCUUCCCGAUCCAGCUGCAGGGCCAAGGGGCCUCCUCUGGGAAGACCGCCCUGACUCCCUCCCCAGCCCCUGGACCCAGGAUCCUAGCCCACUUUGCUCCCCCACGUCUGGGGACUCAGAGGCCUGGAGCCAUGUUGGUCUCAGCUCUGAUUCCCCAGCGCCAGGCAGAGCCUGGCUCCCCACAGUCCUCAGUGGAGGUUUGUUGACUGACUGAGUGACUCGAUUCUGAUUUAAUAACAAUGACCACUGGUAAAUAACUUGCUAUCUGCCAAGUGCUUGAGGUCCAUUAUCUAGUUUGAACCUCACAACAAUCCAAAGAGGUGCGUGUUGCUGCUGAUGCCACUUUACAGUUGAUGAGCAAACCGAGUCAAAAAGCUUAAGUUGGGGCCGGCCCCAUGGCCGAGUGGUUAAGAUCAUGCGCUCUGCUUCGGUGGCCCAGGGUUUUGCAGGUUCCGAUCCUGGGCACAGACCUGGCACCACUCAUCAAGCCAUGCUGAGGCAGCAUCCCACAUGCCACAACUAGAAGGGGACAACUAAAAAUAUACAACUAACAAAGCCACGGGGCUUUGGGGAGAAAAAGGAAAAAUAAAAUCUUUAAAAAAAAAAAAAGCUUAAGUAGC
rnacentral:lncRNA from 1 species